UACGUAGGGGGCAAGCGUUGUCCGGAUUUAUUGGGCGUAAAGAGCGUGUAGGCGGCCAGAUAGGUCUGCUGUGAAAACUCGAGGCUUAACCUCGAGAUGUCGGCGGAAACCAUCUGGCUAGAGUCCGGAAGAGGAGAGUGGAAUUCCUGGUGUAGCGGUGAAAUGCGCAGAUAUCAGGAAGAACACCCGUGGCGAAGGCGGCUCUCUGGGACGGUACUGACGCUGAGACGCGAAAGCGUGGGGAGCGAACAGGAUUAGAACUUACCGUGGUCAGUCC
rnacentral:rRNA from 1 species